AAAAUGAAAAAAAGAAAGAAGAAAAGAGAGAAGAGAGAAGAGAGAAGAGAUGUUCCUGACUUAAUCUUCUUGCUCAU
rnacentral:ribozyme from 1 species